CCAAUUACGCCACACGAAGAAGACGCAGUCGCAGAAGGAGAGAGGCUGUGAUGAAAACAAAACGUCGCACACAAAUCACCUGUCACAUUGUAGCACCUGAAAGAAAUUUGUGCCUCUCUGAAACCCAGUUUGCUGAAAUUCAAACGCACUUUAUAAUUUAAUUUACUUUAACUAAUUAGAUAGCUCGCUCUAAUUACCGCAAAGAGUUACAGGUAAAGGUACCAAAUAUACUAGCUAGCUAGCGUUAGCUGACAGCUUAGCUUCUGCAGGAAAUUCUGACGUAGCUUGAGUUUAGCAACAACUUCCAAAAGCCAAAACAAUGGCGGACGAUUAUGAAUUCAGCGAUGACGCGACCAUGAUGAGGAUGGAAGAAGAUGGAGAGGCAAACAGUGAUGACCCGAUGUCUGCGGCCGGGGACUCUGGCCCGAUGGGGGGCGAGGCCGAGGGGUCGAGGAUCGACGCCAGUAAAAACGAGGAGGAUGAGGGGAAGAUGUUUGUAGGAGGGCUCAGCUGGGACACCACUAAGAAGGACCUGAAGGAUUAUUUCUCCAAGUAUGGUGAGGUUGUAGACUGCACAUUAAAACUGGACCCCAUGACUGGCCGUUCAAGGGGCUUUGGCUUUGUGCUCUUCAAAGAACCGGAAAGUGUUGACAAGGUCGCCACACAGAAGGAGCAUAAACUCAACGGAAAGGUCAUUGACCCCAAAAAAGCCAAAGCCAUGAAGAGCAAGGAGCCUGUAAAGAAGAUCUUUGUCGGCGGUCUCUCUCCAGACACUCCUGAGGAGAAAGUCAGAGAGUACUUUGGUGCCUUUGGAGAGGUGGAGUCCAUUGAACUUCCCAUGGAGAACAAAACAAACAAAAGGAGAGGCUUCUGCUUCAUCACGUUCAAAGAGGAGGAGCCAGUGAAGGCCAUCAUGGAGAAGAAGUACCACAAUAUCGGACUAAGCAAGUGUGAAAUAAAAGUGGCAAUGUCCAAGGAGCAGUACCAGCAGCAGCAGUACUGGGGAGGCAGAGGUGGAUACUCCACCAGGUCUCGAGGAAGAGGCGGUGGUCCCAAUCAAAAUUGGAACCAGGGUUAUGGCAACUACUGGAAUCAAGGCUAUGGGAAUUAUGGCAAUUAUGGUUACAGUAAUCAAGGCUAUGGGGGAUAUGGUGGCUAUGACUACCCCGGGUACAACAACUAUUACGGAUACGGUGACUACAACAAUCAAUCUGGUGGAUAUGGCAAGUCGCCACGGCGUGGUGGUCACACCAACAGUUACAAGCCGUAUUAACGGAGGAAACUCAUCUUCAAGUAGCGGAGCUUCCUUGCAGGCCAUGAGCUGACUCCCAGAUACUCUCAGGGCCCGCUCAAUGCGGACCGGGUACGAGAAGCAUACGCUCUCGAAUGCUGCCAUUUGGUGUCAGAGUGAUGACAGGCGGCAGUGAGCUGGUGGAGCGUUGGCCAGACAGAUGAUGGUUCCCAGCAAAGAUCACUAAGCUGAUUGUUAAAACAAAACGAAGAGCACUUUGACCUACAGAACAGUUCCUCCCAUAUUUACCAGAGUAUUUGUUGUAUCUUAAAAACGUUUUGGUGUUUUGCAUUUAUUUAGAUUGCUGCAGAGUUUGAGCAGCUUGCGUUCCUCAUCCCUCCUUGUUUUUGUAUUUAAUGUUCUCAAAUGCUAUUUGUGGAUUUGCUUCAGUUAUUUCAUAACUGAAAUAUUAGCUUGGUUGCAACAGAUCACACAUAUAUCCAGUUUUGUGGUAGUGAAGAAUGCCUGAAAUGCGUUGUUGCAGUUUAUCCUCUUUAUCAUAGUCAUCAGUCAUAUAUUACAUAUGUUAUUACAGAGUAAUGACAGUCAUAAACACACAGUAUAUACAGUUAAUUGGACAUGAAAUGCGACAAAAUAAAAAUAAUAAAUGCUCA